UCUCUCGAUCUGGAGCUGCGUGGCGGUAGUUUUGUCAGAGGGGUUGCAGCGGGGCGGCGGUGUAGGCGUGAUUCCGGCGAGCUAACAACGGCGGUAGAGGCUCCUCUCCUCAAGAUUUUGUUGCUGCAACCUCUACAAUCUACCUCAUACAUUGGUCAAGCGUGCUGCUGCUGCUCCAAGGCAGGAUGCCACACUGAAGCCAAAUGCACAAAUUAUCCCAAAGAAGGCAGCAUACAUUUGUUCAGAUCAAAUCAGCUCAGAGUUAGCCAAUACCGAAUCAGUGUUUUUCUUUACCUUUGGCGUCAUGUACACAGAAAAGAAAACGCCUACGAAGAUCCUGAUUGCCGCUGUGAAGUAUUAUGGUGUAUGUUUGUAUAUUCACACGGAAAAUGAACUUGCUAUAUUAUGAUAUUGUUGUCGAAAAUUGUGUUCUGUGUAAUAUCAUAUAUGUAUCAUGCUUGUCAAUAUAUAGUGUUAUGUUUU